rnacentral:rRNA from 1 species
UAGAUACCCUGGUAGUCCACGCCGUAAACGAUGGAUACUAGGUGUGGGGGGACUGACCCCCUCCGUGCCGCAGCUAACGCAAUAAGUAUCCCACCUGGGGAGUACGAUCGCAAGGUUGAAACUCAAAGGAAUUGACGGGGGCCCGCACAAGCGGUGGAGUAUGUGGUUUAAUUCGAAGCAACGCGAAGAACCUUACCAGGGCUUGACAUCCUGCUAACGAACCAGAGAUGGAUUAGGUGCCCUUCGGGGAAAGCAGAGACAGGUGGUGCAUGGUUGUCGUCAGCUCGUGUCGUGAGAUGUUGGGUUAAGUCCCGCAACGAGCGCAACCCCUAUCUUCAGUAGCCAGCAUUCAGGAUGGGAACUCAGGAGAGACUGCCCGGGACAACCGGGAGGAAGGCGGGGAUGACGUCAAAUCAUCAUGCCCCUUAUGGGCAGGGCUACACACGUGCUACAAUGGCGAAAACAGAGGGAAGCGAGCCGGUGACGGUAAGCAAACCCCAAAAACAUCGUCCCAGUUCGGACUGUAGUCUGCAACCCGACUACACGAAGCCGGAAUCGCUAGUAAUCGCGGAUCANAAUGCCGCGGUGAAUACGUUCCCGGGUCUUGUACACACCGCCCGUCACACCAUGGGGAGUCGGAAAUGCCCGAAGUCAGUGACCUACCCUUAAGGAGGGAGCUGCCGAAGUGGAGCCGGUACCUGGGUGAAGUCGUAACAGGGUAGCCCAAUUCCACAACCUGCGGG